ACUCGUGGGCAGGAAGCAAGGGCGGACCCCGAGAGAUGACUGAUUGUGGGGGUGGGGACCGUCUGCUCCUCCUAAUGGCUGGGGACCGUGCACGUCUGCGCGGGCCGGACCUGCUCUUCUCGGGAACUUGCGCGGGAGGAGGCCCGGAGCUGCGCCGCUUUACCCUCUGCUCCCCGGUGCCUAAAACGCACACGCAUCAAAGUCACAGGACGAGUUAGAGAUACCUUCUCUCAUGAUGGAGACUUUAUCUUUUGCUCCUUGCCUCCCACCCAUAUUGAAGAGACUAUCAGAAAGCAGACAGGAAGCUCCACAGACAGGCGGGGCUGCUUUAACAGUACGCUUUGCUCGAGGGUGAAGAGGGCGAGAACCAGCUAUCAGGAGAAAGGCAGAGGGAGAUUUGAAACACAGAGGAGGUGAUGAGAAGACACAGCAGAAGAUAUCUGAAGACUGGAAAGAAUGCUGCAACCAACAGGAGAAGGAAAAGACAGAAAUGUGUUUUCCAUUUGGAGCAUCCAGAGGGAGCACAACCAUAUCAACACCUUGAUUUUGAUCCAGUGACAUUGAUUUUGGACUUGUGGCCUCCAGAACUUUUAGAGAAUAAAUUUGCAUUGUUUUAAGCCAACAGGUUGGUGGAAAUUUUUUACAGCAGCCACAGGAAGCAAACACAGACUCCUAACUGGUGCUUAGUCCUAGAAUAUCAGUUUCUGUUCCACUUCUGGAUCUCAUAAUUGCAUCUCAGACAUCAACACUGACUUCAUAUUCUUAAUGCACCAAUUCUACCAUUUCUUCAGGCUGCAAACAGAGAAAAACUUAUUUAAGCAUUCCAGAAUUGACCCAAUAGAAGACUCUCCAGAAAAGACUGCAUGGUCUCUGAAGCAGCAUGAUCAGCAUGACUGGCUGCAUCUGGGCUCCACCGUUUGCCACUUCAGACAGGUCCUUAGCCUCUUAGAGGUUCAUUUUCCUUGCUGUAGCCCGGAGUAAGAAUGUUUAGCCUACAAGAUUUAUUUUGAGGCAUCAAUGAAUCACUAUGUGAGCCUCACACAGUGUCUGGCACUGAUAUUACAAAAUAUGGUUGAUCUUGCCAUCCUUGUUAUUGUCCUGGUGGGGAUUCCUCUCUGUUGAAGAUACGGAGCCUCUAAAAAUGAGUGGCAGAGGCUCCCAGCUCAGGAUCCUUGUCCAGGUCCUAAAGAUCCUCCACUCUGCUUGUCACUCUGUUCAUUAUGUUUGCAUGGCCACCACGGUCAACACUACUGCGGCCUACCUCAAGUUCUCAUGCCUCACUCUCUGAGCUCAUGAGGACACAAGGAUCCUUUGGCAACACAUUAACUACACUCUGUGGCCAUCCCUUGACUUCUGAGAGGAUGUUUCCCUCCUCUCAAUCAAAAGCUCUCUUCCCUCCUGGGCAAGAUCCUUGCAUGCACCCAGCACCCUCACACCUGGUGCCCUCACACCCAGCACUCUCACACGUGGUGCCCUCACACCCAGCACCCUCACACCCAGCACCCUCACACCUGGUGCCCUCACACCCAGCACCCUCACACCUGGUGCCCUCACACCCAGCACCCUCACACCUGGUGCCCUCGCACCCAGCACCCUCACACCUGGUGCCCUCGCACCCAGCACCCUCACACCUGGUGCCCUCGCAACCAGCACCCUCACACCUGGUGCCCUCACACCCAGUGCCCUCACACCCAGCACUCUCACACUUGCACUGUCCUCAUCCCAACUCUGUGGUUCCUCUGGGGAAUCACUGUGGAAUCCCUCAUGGGAGGAUGUUUUCAAAAGAAACAACAGCCCAAUGAAGGGUAUUUGAGGAUGAGAAGCAGGAAAGAAGUCAGUGGGUGGCUGAGUUGUGUCCAGGUUUUGCGUGGCCAUGGAAAAUCAGGUGAAGGACAUUAAAUAUCUUGCAGUGGCUUCUCCAUUAGGAGCAUGAAAUGAGGAAAGGGGCUGUCCUCACAGGCCAGCCAAGAGGGAUGCCUAUGCCAAACAGAAAGACUGACAGUAAACAGAAUCCAGGAUGACAUGACUGAGGUAUGGUGUGCAGGGCAUGGCCCAGGGAGGAGGGUAGAUAAGUAAGCCUGGGUGCACCUUCAGAGGAAGAAAUAACAGAGGCUGCAGGCGAGAGAGUUACAAGGAAGGAGGAGCAGGAAGACACGAGAAAAAUUCAGAUAAACUCAACAUCUCCAGCCUGGGGGAAACGUGAGAGGGUGGUAUGAAGAUACACACGAUGCAUGUUGCUUAGUGAAAGCAGCCAGUCGGAAAAGGCUACGUAGUGAAUGACCCCAACUAUGACAUUCUGAAAAAGGCAAAACUAUGGAGACAGGAUAAAGAUCAGUGGUUGCCAGUGAGGCAGGAGAAUAGGGUCUGGGGGCAGGGAGCCUAAGGCUGAUUCAUGCUGACUUCAUGAACGGAAUCAAAAGGAAAACCCUAAAUUUCCAUGCCCACGUAACAAAAGGAUCAGAGGCUACUCCCUUUGCAACUCCCCCCAACUUUCUGUGUUGCAGAUGAAAAAUGGAAAGUGCCUCGGAUUGGUCCCCUCCUGCAACCAGUCAGACAUCUGCAUAGAGCGUAACUUUGUAACUUCACUUCAGCCUCUGCUUGGUCACCUUCCACAACCAAUCAGACUGGUCAUGGGCCACUAUUUCAUAGGGUGUAAACCAAGUGACCAAUGGGAAACAUCUAGAGGGUAUUUAAACCCCAGAAAAUUCUGCGACCAGUGCUUUUGAGCCUUGCUUGGGCCUGCUCCCACUCUGUGAAGUGCAUUUUUGUUUCAAUACAGCUAUGCUUUUGUUGCUUC
rnacentral:lncRNA from 1 species